CCCUUAGAUGUUCUCGGCCGCACACGCGCUACACUGAAAGAGGCAACGUGCUUGCCUGAUUCGAAAGAAUUGGGUAACCCCCUAAUCUCUUUCGUGCUGGGGAUUGAGGUUUGCAAUUAUCCUUCAUGAACGAGGAAUUCCCAGUAAGUGCGAGUCAUUAUCUCGCGCUGACUACGUCCCUGCCCUUUGUACACACCGCCCGUCGCUACUACCGAUUGAAUGAUUUAGUGAGGACUUCGGACUGAGUCCAAUGCGGCUUUCGGGCUGCGUUGGUAUUUCGGAAAGAUGUCCAAACUGUAUCAUUUAGAGGAAGUAAAAGUCGUAACA
rnacentral:rRNA from 1 species